UACGUAGGGGGCAAGCGUUGUCCGGAUUUAUUGGGCGUAAAGAGCGUGUAGGCGGCUUUGCAAGUCCGUUGUGAAAACUCGAGGCUCAACCUCGAGACGCCGGUGGAAACUGCAAAGCUAGAGUCCGGAAGAGGAGAGUGGAAUUCCUGGUGUAGCGGUGAAAUGCGCAGAUAUCAGGAGGAACACCAAUAGCGAAGGCAGCUCGCUGGGACGGUACUGACGCUAAGGCGCGAAAGCGUGGGAGCGAACAGG
rnacentral:rRNA from 1 species